GGGUCCGGACACACUGAGGAUUGACAGGCAAUAUCUAUUAAAAGAUUAUAUUUUUAAUAUAAUUCUUUUUUUAAUAGGUUAAAUAUGCUAGUCCUUUCAUGAUUAUGUGAUAGGGGUGCAGGCCGUUCUUAGUUCGGGAGGAUCUGCGCUUAAUUGCGUUUCACUAAGGGCCCAUAAAUUCAAGGUAGUUAGCUAUUGUUUCCCUAUUGACCCCUUAUUUAAUAAGCGCGGUCUUUAUGGGUUUAAACAUUGCGCAGCUGUUGGGCCUGAAAGCAACGAACGUGACCGCAACGCUUGUUGCCUUUAUCUUGUUAUAUCUAUUAUUCUUAUAAUAGAAUAACUAACAGAGGCUAAUCUAAAACUAGACGGACCGCUGUUUCUUUCUUAAACCAGAGGAAGGUUGCGGCAAUAACAGGUCUGUGAUGCCCUUAAUGUUCCGGGC
rnacentral:rRNA from 1 species